UGCGUGCCCAUCUCUUUUCUUUCCAUUUCUCUCCGAGCCUUCAUUUUUGUCCCUCGUUUUUCUUCUUUUAGUAUUUUUUGGUUGGUGUGAUUAUAGUGCUGCUUACCAGAUAAAUUCGCGGCCUUUGUUAGCUAUGCUCUCUGAUUUAUAGUAGGCAGGCCUGUGCGUUUGUUUAUAUAUUCUCUCUUCUUUCCUUAUUUAAUCUUCAUUAUCGGAAAGAGUAGACCUUGAUAUGUAUUGAUUUACGAUAUACCGUGCGCUAAUCGUUUUGCUUUGUUCUAAUUCGUGAAAAUCGAAAUGCUCACCAAGUGUUCGUCCGAAUUCCUCUGAACUGGCUUUUACUUUGGCACAUACCCCAAAGUUUUGGUAUUCAUGUGUCUUUCCCGUUGGGGCUUCUUUCCAAUUAUUCUUUCCAAUUAUUACCUCUUAUUUUUUGCUAUACCUCAUAUAUGGUCAACAAUGAUAGAGAAGAGUCAAUCCGAAGGUCAAUAGAAUGGUAACCAUCUAACAAGAUUAUUUUACAAGCGGAAUGACUUGCAUUCUUUGUAAACUUGGAGGCCGCUGGAUAUGGUGGAAACUUGGAGGUCUGCAUUUAAUGUUUAUGUGGGCUGCAUCCAAAGGAUUCUUUAUUUUGGAGUUCGCUUCACAUGUAAAGCCAUGGCUAUCAAUGGUGGUUAUAUGCCCCUACUAUUUUUGAUAGGAUUCUUGUUAGGUUGCAAAUACAUACAUGAUACAUCAUACCUUAGUGAAUGAGCUCUUGGAAACAAGAAUAGAAGUACACAAAUACAUUGCAUUCGUCAAUAAGCUUGCUUGGAGCAUUAAACUGACGAAAUUUGUGGUGGUUAAGAGUAGUAAUACACAACGAAAUCUGACCAUCAGUGUGCGAA